CAGAGAGGAAUACUCCCCAAAUACAUGUGUGCCAAGCUUGUAGCGUCAUACCCAAGAAGGCUUGAGGCUGGUCUGAAUACUUAUUGUGUAUGUGUGUGUUCUCUCAUAGACAGAGUGUUUGGAAGGUGUCUGGAGUUACCUAGUGCGGACCUAUACACCUAUGAUGUGUCAGCCUCUGCUCUACAGCACCUGAGGAGUCUCCUCCAGAAACUGUCCCACAGAGGUACUGUCUGUCUGUCUCUCUGCUUGCCUGCUUGUCUUUCUGUCUCGCUGUCCCUGUACAGAUGCGUGUGUAUGUCUGAUUGGUCCGUCUGUCCUGUCGACAUUAUAAAACAGAUUCAGCUAUGUGUAGGGCAUUUAAUCAUCCCCUUUUCUCUCUCUCUCUCUUCCCAGAAGGGCAGCUUGAGACAGAUCCCAGUGGUCAAGGAGAGUCAUCUGGAGUCUGGUCAGUUCAUGGUCUUGACCAUCAUCUCCAUGGUCCUGAUCAUGGGGGCGCUGGCAGUGUCUGGCUGGCUCUUCUGCCUGCGCCACCGCUCCCACCUCCAACUGAAGGAGAAACUAGCCAGCCUGGGGACUGACACCAGCGCUGAUGCAACCGCAACCUAUCAGGAGCUGUGUCGCCAGCGGAUGGCUGUGCGGACAUCGGAGCGUCCGGAGCGUGCGGAGUGCCCGGAGCCUCUGCGGCGCCUCUCGCGGCUGAACAGCUCGUCUUCUCAGUUCAGCGACGGGGGACCCAUAGCCAGCCCCUCGGCCCGUAGCUCCACUUCCUCCUGGUGCGAAGAGCCUGUCCCUUCCAACAUGGACAUCUCCACCGGCCACAUGAUACUGUCGUACAUGGAGGACCACUUGAAGAACAAGAACCGCCUGGAGAGGGAGUGGGAGGCGAUGUGUGGUUACCUGGCUGAGCCCGGUGACUGUGACGUGGGCCAGGGCCAACACAACACCAAGAGGAACCGCUCUGACACCGUGGUUGUCUAUGAUCAUUCCAGAAUCACCUUGAAGGCUGAGAAUAACCAUGGCAACUCGGAUUACAUCAAUGCUAGCCCAAUUAUGGACCAUGACCCGAGGAACCCCAUGUACAUCGCUUCACAAGGCCCUCUACCCUCCACCGUGGCUGACUUCUGGCAGAUGGUGUGGGAGAGUGGCUGCGUGGUCAUCGUCAUGCUAACGCCCCUGUCUGAAAAUGGAGUGAAACAGUGUCAACAGUACUGGCCAGACGAGGGCUCCAAUGUCUACCAUGUUUAUGAGGUGAACCUGGUGUCAGAACACAUCUGGUGUGAGGACUUCCUGGUCAGGAGUUUCUACCUGAAGAACUUGCAGACCAACGAGACACGCACUGUCACGCAGUUCCACUUCCUUUCCUGGGUAGACCACAGCAUCCCUGACUCAGCCAGGACACUGCUGGACUUCCGUAGAAAGGUUAACAAGUGCUACCGGGGUCGGUCUUGUCCAAUAAUUGUCCACUGCAGUGACGGGGCUGGCCGAAGCGGAACGUACAUCCUGAUUGACAUGGUCCUCAAUAGGAUGGCUAAAGGUGCUAAAGAGAUUGAUAUUGCCGCUACCCUGGAGCACUUGAGAGACCAAAGAGCCGGCAUGGUCCAGACAAAGGAGCAGUUUGAGCUUGCGCUGACAGCCGUAGCAGAGGAGGUGAAUGCCAUCCUUAAAGCACUUCCACAGUGAAACUCGACGCCGCCCCACACCGUGCCACAUCUCGCUGUCUAAACACAUGUUUUUUCUGCCCACUCAAGUCUGUCAUCUCGCUUUUGUCCCAAAUGGCACCCUAAUCCCUACGCAGUGCGCUACUUUUGAACAGGGCCCAUAAGGGUCUGGUCAAAAGUGGUACACUAUGUAGGGAAUAGGGUGGUGCCAUUUGGGACAUACAUACCUAUCUUCUCUUGUUUCUCUCUCCUCUGAUUCUCGCUCUUGGAAUACUUAUGAAUGUUGUGCCAGAUACUUGACCGACCUGGUCUUCUUAAGUGUGAUGUAUUCUUUUUGCAGUUGUGUUCCAGUGCCACUUACAGAUAGCUAGACAAAGUCACGUGUGUUCUCUCUCUCUCUUUGUGAUCUGAAUAAUCUAUUAUACUAAGAAUCAGAUAAUUGGUUAUUGAUGUGUGAAGAAUAUGAUAUUGUAUUCAAGGCCUGAACAUCUGUGUCCUGUAUAUAGAGAAGAUGCUUCAAAGAACAAUGUCGAAGUGAUCUUUACUAUUAAAGUUCUGAACCACAUUCUAUGGCCCUGUUCAAAUACAUUCGAAAUGUAUCCUUCCUUCCUUGAGAAUCUGUAAGUGAUAUACACUACCGGUCAAACGUUUAGAACACCUACUCAUUCAAGGGGUUUUUCUUUAUUUUUACUAUUUUCUACAUUGUAGAAUUGUAGAAUAACACAUAUGGAAUCAUGUAGUAACCAAAAAAGUGUUAAACAAAUCUAAAUAUAUUUUAUAUUUGAGAUUCUUCAAAGUAGCCAGCCUUUGCCUCGAUGACAGCUUUGCACACUUGUCAUUCUCUCAACCUGCUCCACCUGGAAUGCUUUUCUAACAGUCUUGAAGGAGUUCCCACACAUCCUGAACACUUGUUGGCUGCUUUUCCUUCACUCUGCGCUCCGACUUUUCCCAAAUCAUCUCAAUUUGGUUGAAGUCGGGUGAUUGUGGAGGCCAGGUCAACUGAUGCAGCACUCCGUCACUCUCCUUCUUGGUAAAAUAGCACUUACACAGCCUGGAGGUAUGUUCGGUCAUUAUCCUUUUGAAAAACAAAUUAUAGUCCCAUAAGCCCAAACCAGAUGGGAUGGCGUAUCGCUGCAGAAUGCUGUGGUAGCCAUGCCGGUUAAGAGUGCCUUGAAUUCUAAAUAAAUCACAGACAGUGUCACCA
ensembl:lncRNA